rnacentral:lncRNA from 1 species
UUGCGACCAUAGCGGAGCUUGAAUGGCAGCUUUGUCGCAAUACGGGGAUGUGAUGAGGUGAAGCAUAUUGAAAAUCUGUAGGGACCACUUCGAAUCGGACGUUGACUGCGUCUUGGCUAAGUUCGAC